UACGUAGGGUGCAAGCGUUAAUCGGAAUUACUGGGCGUAAAGCGUGCGCAGGCGGUUGUGCAAGACAGAUGUGAAAUCCCCGGGCUCAACCUGGGAAUUGCAUUUGUGACUGCACGGCUAGAGUGUGUCAGAGGGGGGUAGAAUUCCACGUGUAGCAGUGAAAUGCGUAGAUAUGUGGAGGAAUACCGAUGGCGAAGGCAGCCCCCUGGGAUAACACCGACGCUCAUGCACGAAAGCGUGGGGAGCAAACAGG
rnacentral:rRNA from 1 species